AACAAACGCUGGCGGCGUGCCUAAUACAUGCAAGUCGAACGGGGUAGCAAUACCUAGUGGCGCACGGGUGAGGAACGCGUGGAUAAUCUGCCUUAGAGUGGGGGAUAACUAGUCGAAAGAUUAGCUAAUACCGCAUAAGACCACAGGAGCUGCGGCUCUAGGGGUCAAAGGUUUUUCGCUCUAAGAUGAGUCCGCGUAAGAUUAGCUAGUUGGUGAGGUAACGGCUCACCAAGGCGACGAUCUUUAACUGGUCUGAGAGGAUGAUCAGUCACACUGGAACUGAGACACGGUCCAGACUCCUACGUGAGGCAGCAGUAGGGAAUAUUGAACAAUGGAGGAAACUCUGAUGCAGCGACGCCGCGUGAGUGAUGAAGGCCUUCGGGUCGUAAAGCUCUGUCGCAGGGGAAUAACACAAUGAAUGUACCCUGUAAGAAAGGAUCGGCUAACUUCGUGCCAGCCGCCGCAGUAACAC
rnacentral:rRNA from 1 species